AAUCUGAUAUCCCUGAAGCAUCUGAUCUGAGGACAAAAAAGAAAAUACUUCAGACUGUAGGGGAGCGGUGGAGACAAUUUAAGUCUAAUUUGACGUCGAAAUGAGCACUUGCAACUGACAAGGAAAGUGUCGAUGACAUUGUAUGCGAAAAGUACGACAUUAGCAAGGAGAAGUGGGCCCAACUUUGUCAGACCCGCAGAGACCCUUCGUGGGAGGAUGUGCGAAAAAAGACACAGGCCAUCCAGAAACAAAACAUUGUCCCUCACAUGUUGUCUCGUGUGGGUUAUGAAUAUCUAGAAAACAAGUUGAUAAAUGAGAAGAAACAAAAAAAAGUGGAGGAAACUGCUCUAUCCAGAAGCACUGACACUGUGAUUAAUCCUCCAUCUCCCAUCAGACGACACAUGAAGUGAAAGAUGGUCCGCACCAAGAAAACUGGACAAAUGACAUCUAAGGCAGCUAAGGAAAUUGCUGACAAGAUUGAUUUUUUGGAGAAGCAAGCCUCACAAGGUUCCUUUGUCACCCAUGGACGUCAGGAUAUAUUGACUGCUGCCACUGGGCGACUAGAACACCCUGGUCGUGUGUGUGCUGCUAAAUUCGGUGUCAUAAUCAAGCAAUACUUUGGACCAGCUCCAAGGAUUUCCUGCACAUCUUCCUCCAUGGUUCCCGAAGACCUGGAACAGUUGACGCAAAAAAUCAGGGUCCAGCUGGAGGAGUCAAUCACAGAAAAAGUGACUCGACAAAUAAUGUUAUCCUUUAGCCAAAUACAGUCAUAGUUUCAAUCGCAAAUGCAAUCACAAGGACUUACAUUGCCUCCUGAGCCUAUGGUUGGUCCUUCAGUUGCUCGUGUCAGCACAAAGGAGAAUUGUGUUGAUCCCUCAGGGAAUGAUCCAGACAGGGGUGACUCAGACAAAUGCAGGUUGUACGUCAAAGAAAAUCCUCCCCGCCUGGUUGCCCUAAUAAUACUUUAUGAGGGGUACACAAUCGUUCACGACAUUCCUUUGCUCCAUGAUCAAGUCAAGGUUGGUGUUGAGGAGGUUAGAGAUACAAAUGCUCUCAUUCCUGUACCCACUGAAGAGGUUAAGUUAGUGGGGGAAAACACUUAGCACCUUCCUUGCUUGACCGACACAUCUUGUCAAGCGUUUAUUAGAACAUGUAUUUCAAUGUCAUUAAAUGCUUUUUUUCAAUUAAAGUGUUCACUGUAAUUAAAUUAUGUUAAUUAAUUGUGUGGGAUAAACAGGGAGUUGUGGGAUUGGCAAAACCUGCAAAUAGGCUGGAUCAUGAUGUCGAUGAUCUCCUAUACCUGAUGACAUUGACCAUCCCACAAAUUUUUCUGAAGUCGUUGCAGGUUAUGUGGGAUGCUAC